UUAUUGUUUAUUUGAUACAACAAAUGGAUAACUGUAGAAAAACUAGAGCUAAUACAUGCUUUAAUCGUAAGAUUGUAUUUAUUAGAUAUUCUGAAUUGGUGAAUCAUAAUAACUUCGCAAAUCUCGUUUAUGACGAGAUAAAUCAUCCAAGUUUCUGCCCUAUCAUGCUUUCGAUGGUAGUGUAUUGGACUACCAUGGCUCUCACGGGUAACAGGGAAUUAGGGUUCGAUUCUGGAGAAGGAGCCUGAGAAACGGCUACUACAUCUACGGAAGGCAGCAGGCGCGUAAAUUACCCAAUCCUGACUCAGGGAGGUGGUGACAAGAUAUAACGACGCGGUUAUUAUCGCGAUUGUAGUGAGGGUAUUCUAAACAGAACCUAUAGUACGAUUAGAGGGCAAGUCUGGUGCCAGCAGCCGCGGUAAUUCCAGCUCUAAUAGCGUAUAUUAAAGUUGCUGCAGUUAAAAAGCUCGUAGUUGGAUUUCAAGGAUUGUAGAACCUCCACGGGGAUACAUCCUACUAGUCUUCGGACUGUUACUGUGAGAAAAUUAGAGUGUUUCAAGCAGGCUUUCGCAAGAAUACAUUAGCAUGGAAUAACGAAUGUAUUUAGAAUCUUGGUUAAUUCUAAAUUACGAUUAAUAGAGACAGUUGGGGGCAUUAGUAUUUAAUUGUCAGA
rnacentral:rRNA from 1 species